rnacentral:lncRNA from 1 species
CAAGACAGAUGGGACUUUCAAAAUGAAAUGUACCUAUGACUGUUUGCUACUAUAUAUAUAAAAUGUCUCAUUUAGUCUCAUCUGUGAUUUUCCAAGAGGAAAAUGUUUCCAGGAGCAAUUUAUCUCAGUCCUACAGCAACAACUUUAGGAGCAGGAAUGCAAUUAUAACUGACAGCCAGAUGUCUGAAGCUUGUUAGUGGUUGAGGGCCCAGUGGGAAAUGUUUGGACACCCAGUGCCAAA